rnacentral:rRNA from 1 species
CCUACGGGAGGCAGCAGUGAGGAAUAUUGGUCAAUGGCCGUAAGGCUGAACCAGCCAAGUCGCGUGAAGGAAGAAGGAUCUAUGGUUUGUAAACUUCUUUUAUAGGGGAAUAAAGGUAUCCACGUGUGGAUAUUUGCAUGUAACCUAUGAUUAAGCAUAGGCUAACUCAGUGUCAGAAGCCGCGGUAAUACGGAGGAUGCGAGCGUUAUCCGGAUUUAUUGGGUGUAAAGGGUGCGUAGGUUGUUUUGUAAGUAAGCGGGGAAGGUUUGGGGCUCAACCAUAAAAUUGCCGUUGAAACUGGAAGACUUGAGUGUAUUUGAGGUAGGCGGAAUGCGUGGUGUAGCGGUGAAAUGCAUAGAUAUCACGAAGAACUCCGAUUGCGAAGGCAGCUUACUGAGCCAUAACUGACACUGAGGCACGAAAGCGUGGGGAUCAAACAGGAUUAGAUACCCUAGUAGUC